GCGGGCGUAAUUCAGUGGUAGAAUGUCAGCUUCCCAAGCUGGACGCCGUGGGUUCGACCCCCAUCGCCCGCUC
rnacentral:tRNA from 1 species